rnacentral:rRNA from 1 species
UACGUAGGGGGCAAGCGUUGUCCGGAAUUAUUGGGCGUAAGGCGCGUGUAGGCGGUCCGGUAAGUCGGUUGUGAAAGUCAAAGGCUCAACCUUUGAAUGUCGAUGGAUACUGCCGGGCUAGAGUCCGGAAGAGGCGAGUGGAAUUCCUGGUGUAGCGGUGGAAUGCGCAGAUAUCAGGAGGAACACCGGUGGCGAAGGCGGGUCUCUGGGCCGAAACUGACGCUGAGGAGCGAAAGCGUGGGGAGCAAACAGG